rfam:Brassica oleracea var. oleracea cultivar TO1000 chromosome C3, whole genome shotgun sequence
GGAAUAUAAGAACCCGUCUUUUAACUUUUAACUAAAAAUACUAAGAACCGGCUCUUAAAUAAGAGUUUUAAAAAACGGUUCUUAGUUUUUUUAGUUAAAAGUUAAGAGACGGAUUCUUAUAUUCC